AUAAUGAAAAAUAUAAGCCAAUCAUGUGCUCUUCUAAUGGGCUGGACUUGACCUGCAGAUUGCCUUUCACUUGAAGGCUGCUAUAUCUGUGGACACUGCAUGCGCUGCAUGGCAGGAGGACAGAUGCAUGUUACAAUUUCAGAUACAAGCAGUGUCUGAAACUGCCUUUUCACACAUUUGAAUUUAAUCAUGUUAGUUUUUUCAAGGAAAUUUACAUAACUAUAUGCUGUACUUAUACAGAUUGUAUAUUCUUUCUGCAUUUUUAUUUUGGAAACUGACAACAGAAAACCAGAUUGUGCCAUGCUUGUUGAAAUAUUCCAUUUUAAUAUUUACGGUCCAAAAAUAAAUUCAUGUGUAUUUUAACGGUCAUUCUACCCUGCAUUAAGAUAGGACAGAUCCAUUUUCAGAAUGCAUUUUUUUCCAGUAUACAGUCACUGAGUCACUGGUUGCAAAUAUUUGUUCUGGCAGUAUCACAUGAAGGUAGUCAAAAAACACAUCCAUUGCAUGGAAUACUCAUGCACACUGACUUGUCCGUUGCAGUUUGUAAUUGCCAAUUUAUUUCAUAUGUGAGGAAGAAUCAAAAAAUAAAGGCAACUCUCCCUUUAAUACUGGUAACUAUGAGCAGAUAAACAUAAUAGUUAUAUCAGUUUUCCACAUAGUUUUCCCUGCAGGUCAAUGCACUUCUUGUAUCAUUCCCCUAAUUUAUUCAUUACUUGGAAGAAUUAGCUUUUUGGCUGCUGCAAAAUCCAGGUUUUCACCUCUUUCUUUACUUUAUUAUCAUGAAUCUGUGGUCACAGAGAGAAGCAGUUGCAUGGAAACAUGCGUUUUCAUGGAGAAAGAAGUUUUUUACAGCAUUCCUCUUCUUUUGCUGUGAAUUGCAGGUUUCAUUUUUUGUCUAAGCACAGAACAGUACAUUGCACUGAGCAUGAAUUGUCCAUGUUCCUGAUGAUAUACCAGAAUAGGACCUUUCAUGCCCCAAAAGAAGGUCAUCAUGAUUUUCUUGAAAGAGGCCUGUCAUUUCAGUUUCCUCUUUACUGCAGAGACAGGUGUUUCCACUAAAUACCUUGUCACUUACUUUCAAGCUGUCAGUGAUGGAGCCAUGUCUCACCCCUUGUGACAAUCCACUCCAAAAUACUCAGAUGUUCUUUAUACGUUUCAAUAAGUGGGUUGCAGCAUCCAUGUGCUGUUGCUUGUGCAGCUGUUUGGGUACCCAUCUUGCAGAAAAUGUAUUGUACCCAAGUCAUCAUGCACUAUGGCAUGUGCAGUUCCAUAGCUGAUAUCCAAAUGUGCAGCAACAAUGGACAACAUAAUCUGUCAGGCUUCUUGUGGGCCUAUGUGUGCAGUGUUGAUGGCUGACCAGAUUGAGGUUACACUUUUUCUUCCCGCUUUAAACCCUUCUACCCAUUCUUAAAAUUUCGUUCAGUCAUGUUGUUUUCACUUCCACACUAAGCCAACAUCCUUCAGUGAAUUUCAGCAGAUUUCUCUCCCUUUGCCCAAAGAAAUUCCACUAUGGUGCAUUGUACAACAAUGGUGCAAUCCCGCACCGGAGAGUCCAUGUUCAUCUGACCAUGGAUUUAACAAGACUAGCUACCCAUAAGCCAUCGCAGGCAUGUUGCCUUUACUUUUUGAUUUACCCUUGUACAUGCCUUUUCGAUAUGGGAAGAAACAGGCAUAUAGGCAAUGGCAAAGCAAGUGAGUAGAGGCGGCAUUCAUAAUUGUGCUUUCAUUCAUGCACCUUAAUAAAUUCUCAUUGUAGUAAGACAGUAUCUUUCUCUAGGCCAUUUUAUUCUGUUUUAUUCUGGGGGACAUAAAUAGCAUAUUUACAGCAUAAAAGAAAAAAUAUUCACAAAUAAAACUUUAAGUGGUAAUGACUGGUGUAGGAAAGGUUUAAGUUCAUUCCACUAUUUUGGCACCUAAUAAACAAUCGGAUUUCCAGUUAAAAUAUUGAUUAGAAGAAAAUGCAGAGCUACCAAGGCUUGUAAUUAUGACAUUUGAGGCAUACUUACAUUCAUAUUUGAGUUUAUAAGAUGAUGCAAGUUUUGCCAAAUGUCAUACUGUCAUGAUGUUCUGUUACUAAGGCAAUACACCAUAUUAACAACUUCACUGUUGUAUUUGACCUCCAUUAUUAGCCUUUUUUUAUUAUAAAGGAGAAAACCUUAAAAUAAAGCAAAAAUGUACAUACUGUACCCAACAAAAUAUAUCUUUAUAUCAAUAAAAUGAUUUAGACAUUUUUAAGAAUGAGCCAUGCACCUUUUGACCUAUCCUGGUUGCUAGUGGACCAGAAAUAAACUUAAUGGUCUUACCAAUUUGUGAGAAUUCAGAUUGUUGCAUGGUAUUAUUGUAGGCUGCAUUGCUUGCCUCACAACGAUUGAAAUACAUCUUGUGUAGAAUAUGCCAGUUCUCACUCUGUUUAAAUGUAUUUUCUUUGUCAACUCUGGUUGGCUUUUACAGUUUGAGGACCUGAAGUUAGGUUGAUUGGCAAAAUCUAAUUUGUCCCAGAAAAAUUCCCUCCGUGGACUGUGCUCCAGCCUUGGUUCCUUAUUUCAUCCUGAUGCUACCAAGACAUAGUCCAUGUCCCAUGAUCCUCUACUGAGCAAGCAUGUUCAGGAAAUGGAUUGGUGAAAUGCAUUGAAAACUGACAUAAUAUAAUAGAGCCAAUGAAUUUUCUGACCUUUAACUAAAAAUUUCAGAAAGCCAAUAUACAUCACAAUUAAUCAGACUGCUUGUAACAAAAAGUACAAGUAAAGUUAAUACAGUCAGUUGGAAUUUAUUUUUUUCUCCGCUGAAUUUAAGGAACAUCAGAACUGUGCAUUUUUCUUGUUUUACAGAGAAAAUAUCUUUUAAAUUGCUAGAUUUAAUUAUGAUCCAAUUACAUAUGUAAGGCAACAUCAAAAAACUAUUCUGUUGUAUUUGGCCAAGGGCUUGGGAGGUUAUACUAACAAAAUAUAAAAUAUAGGAGUGUUAUUUACUGAAAAAGUAGAAACAAACUUGUCUUCACAAUAUUUUAGCUUGACCCUCAAUAUGCUUAUUUCUGGUAUACAGUAAAACCAUAGCUACAUGCAAGAGCAAGACCUUAAGAUAUGUUUUUUAAUAUAUUUUUGGACCUUACCUAUUAAAUGUGAAACAGAAGAUAAACAGGUUGUUUUAAGUUUUCAUCAUGUAGUCUGUCUCUAACAUUCUAGAAAAUCAAAGGGAUGUAAAAUACAGUAUAAUAUGUCACCCCUUAAAUUAACUGUUGUCUUAGUAACAAGACUAAUAUUUUAUCUUUUGUGUCACAGUGUUAGAUUUAAGGCUUAUUAUUAAUUCACUUCAUCUAACAUUUUGGUACAUUUAACAGUAGAGCAACUUUAAUUAUGUCUAACUAUGUGCCUAAUAGAAAACCAUACAUGCCCAGUUUCACUGAAAUACAGAAAUUAAAUUGGUUUAAAAGAGAGCAACCAAACAAGUCAAGUUCAAGACGUGUCAGAAAUGUAUCAUUUACUUGCAACAAUAAGU